GAUGAACGCUGGCGGCGUGCCUAAUACAUGCAAGUCGAGCGAACAGAUAAGGAGCUUGCUCCUUUGACGUUAGCGGCGGACGGGUGAGUAACACGUGGGUAACCUACCUAUAAGACUGGAAUAACUCCGGGAAACCGGGGCUAAUGCCGGAUAACAUUUAGAACCGCAUGGUUCUAAAGUGAAAGAUGGUUUUGCUAUCGCUUAUAGAUGGACCCGCGCCGUAUUAGCUAGUUGGUAAGGUAACGGCUUACCAAGGCAACGAUACGUAGCCGACCUGAGAGGGUGAUCGGCCACACUGGAACUGAGACACGGUCCAGACUCCUACGGGAGGCAGCAGUAGGGAAUCUUCCGCAAUGGGCGAAAGCCUGACGGAGCAACGCCGCGUGAGUGAUGAAGGUCUUCGGAUCGUAAAACUCUGUUAUUAGGGAAGAACAAAUGUGUAAGUAACUGUGCACGUCUUGACGGUACCUAAUCAGAAAGCCACGGCUAACUACGUG
rnacentral:rRNA from 1 species